AAAAGAGCUAGGCAGACAGAAGAACACGUGAUGCAGCCAGCCUUCUCUCUUCUAUAUUCUGUUGGAGCCAUUCUUUGGCGGACCCCAUCACACAGAUUCGGGGGAACACGACAACGGGAAAUAUGAAGCACCCAACAAGGCUUGCCUGGCUUGGGGGUUUAGACACUUGCAAAGGACAGCCUGCUCUCUCCAGCACAGACUGAAACCCAGUGGCCCAGCAGACAUGAGAAUGCUUGGCGGAGCUGUAGGAAGGAAGUUAGAAUCUGCUGUCCUCCACAACUUCCUGAUGAACGAGGAA
rnacentral:lncRNA from 1 species